GGAAACUGAGGCUCACAGAGCCCAAGUCAUUUGCCCAAGGUCCCAGUGACCUGCCGAGUGGGAAGAGCCGUGGCUGGCCGGCCUCCCAGUGGCGACGACGACCUCGCUGUGCUUGUGGCAGCGGCACUCUCAAAUCUGGGCACGGUGAUGGGAAGGUUAUUUGUUGGAAUCCCUUUGCCUUUCCAAGGGAAAAUAAACACAAAAAGUGA
rnacentral:lncRNA from 1 species